UUUUGUUUUGGUCUACACAGUGUUUUCCGCCACAGAUCCGAAGAGGAAUGCCAGAGACUCCCAUGUGCCGGUUUUGGCUCCACUCCCAAUUGGAUUUGCUGUAUUCAUGGUUCACUUGGCCACCAUUCCAAUCACUGGAACCGGCAUCAACCCAGCCAGGAGUCUAGGAGCUGCUGUUAUCUACAACCAGGACAAGGCCUGGGAUGACCAAGUCAGUACACACACACACAUAUCAUUAAAUAAAUUAAUUAUACUUAAUUAAUUUUGCAAAGGGUACUUAAUUUUCUUGUUAAAUUAUUAUUAAUUUAUUUUUUUUAUUGCAGUGGAUCUUUUGGGUUGGACCCUUUGCUGGUGCAGCCAUUGCAGCAUUCUAUCAUCAGUUCAUCUUGAGGGCUGGUGCUGUGAAGGCUCUUGGGUCAUUCAGGAGCAACCCCAGUACUGUUUAAGAAAAAUCCUUUAUCAAAAAAAGAAAUAAUAAUGAAGGAAGAGAGAGCAUAUGCAUGCAGCUGGUUGGCUGGUUUCUUUGUAGUGGUGGGUUAAAAAUCGAUGAAUGUGAAAGAGAGAGAAUGAAAGGAUUAUGUAAUUUGUAGAUAUAAAAGUCUCUUUCAAAAGGGAGGCUUUUAUUAUUUUUACUGUUAUGUGGCAAUGAUAUGAUGGUUUUCUAGUUAGUUUCACCCUCUUUUGUCUACUUUUCUUCUAUGCACUUAUCAUGCUUGUGAGAAAAGUUAAGCUAUUUGGUCAAGUCUUUUGUUGCUUCUGUCAAAAGUUUAGGUUGUGAGUGUAUUAUUAUGAGCUUUUUUUGUUUUUUUUCAGUAUCAAAUAUUCAUUUCUUGUUAAUGAAGCAUCACAAAAAUAACAAUAAUUACAAAU
rnacentral:misc_RNA from 1 species